CCUACGGGUGGCAGCAGUGAGGAAUAUUGGUCAAUGGGCGUAAGACUGAACCAGCCAAGUCGCGUGAGGGAUGAAGGUUCUAUGGAUCGUAAACCUCUUUUAUAAGGGAAUAAAGUCUGGGACGUGUCCUAUUUUGUAUGUACCUUAUGAAUAAGGAUCGGCUAACUCCGUGCCAGCAGCCGCGGUAAUACGGAGGAUACGAGCGUUAUCCGGCUUUAUUGGGUUUAAAGGGUGCGAUGGCGGUCUUUUAAGCAAGCGGUGAAAGUCUGUGGCUCAACCAUGGAAUUGCCGUUGAAACUGGGGGUCUUGAGUUUGUUAGAGGCAGGCGGAAUGCGUGGUGUAGCGGUGAAAUGCUUAGAUAUCACGCAGAACCCCGAUUGCGAAGGCAGCCUGCCAGGCCAUGACUGACGCUGAUGCACGAAAGCGUGGGGAUCGAACAGGAUUAGAUACCCGGGUAGUC
rnacentral:rRNA from 1 species